GAUGAACGCUGGCGGCGUGCCUAAUACAUGCAAGUCGAGCGAAGCGGGGACGGGUGAGUAACACGUGGAUAACCUCCUAUAAGACUGGGAUAAAUUCGGGAAAACUGAGAUACACCGGCUACUUAUCUAUGGCUCUGCGCUGCAUUAGCUAGUUGGUAAGGUAACGUCUUACCAAGGCAACGAUGCAUAGCCGACCUGACAGGGUGAUCGGCCACACUGGAACGGAGACACGGUCCAGACUCCUACGGUAGGCAGAAGUAGGGAAUCUUCCGCAAUGGGCGAAAGCCUGACGUAGCAACGCCGCGUGAGUGAUGAAGGUCUUCGGAUCGUAAAACUCUGUUAUUAGGGAAGCGGUACCUACUCAGAAAGCCACGGCUAACUACGUGCCAGCAGCCGCGGUAAUAC
rnacentral:rRNA from 1 species